ensembl:ncRNA lncRNA:CR46474 long non-coding RNA:CR46474
UGAAUCCUACUUUGAAUUUCCAUUAGAAGUAAAACUCUUUUACCAAAAAGCGCCUUCAUUGGUUUUUUGCCAUUUAUUUUGUAGGGAUAAAUAUUAAACUUGGCAUGCAAAUGAAUACAUGUAUGUGCCGAAGCACAUUCCAUAUUCUAUAUGAUGAAAGGGAAGCAUCAUUAUAGGUGCCAUAGAUGGAGGUCAGCAGUCAGCAGAGGAGUUUGGGUCCUGGCAUCUGGGCUGUGCGUUAAUGAGUCCUCUUCCUGUUUUCCCUGCUCCUUUUACCCUGCUCCUGACGAUUGGUGCCUGGAAAGCGUUUUCGGAGGCAUCGGUCAUGCCGAACACGAAAAAAUGGCACCAUGGCCAGAGGAGCGGCCCAAGAAGCAGAAGGAGCGGAAAGAGCAGCCGCCACGGAUGGCCAUCCAGCGGCAUGAAGACGAAUUAUUGGUUCGCCUUUUGGAAAAAUUAAAUAUCGCGUGUUGGUAAUUUCCGCUUGGCUUCCCAUUGCCGCUGCCAUCGGGUGAAGUUGAGGCGAAUUAUUACGAUGAUUAGGCGACUGACAGUGCUCCCAGGCAUCGGCAUCCACAUCCACAUCCACAUCCAUAUCCACAUCCACAUCCACGUCCAUGUCCAUGUCGACCAUCCGGCCUGCCAGCCGUGAUCUGUAUGCAUGUUUCGCUCCGCAUUUCGCAUUUCGCAACUCGCAGCCCGCAACUCGCAUUUUCGCAUUUCGCAUUGCAUGUGUUGUGCGCAGCGUUUUGUGGACAUCUUCGUGGCAUUCUGGUUUUGGUUCUGGGCGAGGAUUAAAUUACUCCAGCCAAUCCCCUGGGCAUAUCGACGGAUCCAGCCGCUGUCAAUAUUGUGUCGCCUCGUAACCCGCACGAUCCGAUGUGGAUCCGAUCGCGGUACUAGGACCAGCACACAACACACAUCACACAAGUGCCCAAAAUAAGUGGUCAUACCCAUGGACAGGUAUUGUUUCUCUACCAGGAGGUAAAGUGCACUCUAUGCAUAUGGAAAGCCGCAAAUAAAGGUUAUUGGUGUUCGAUUUAUAGGUAGUAUAUACAUAUGCAAUAAGAAUGAGCAACUUAAAACUAGUUAUUAUAGUUCAUAAACUAGUAUUAUUUCAGCUUCACAAGUUUCCACUGGCCAAAGAAGACGGGUAUACAUGUCCUUAAAUUUUGGGAUAAAAGAAAGAAAAGGAGUGUUUUGAGAUACUGUUUAGGAUCCUUUUAAGACGCCUAUAUUAACAUUUUAGUAUCGCACUACUGAAAAGUUCAAUGCACCCCCGAUCCCAAAGUGACGCGCAGAAUGACUGACAUUCUUCCAGCAUAUGAUUGACAAUGGAAACGGGCCUGAAAUUACCCAAAGAAUCGAGGGAUGGGGCUGCCCAUAUCGAUACCACAUCCGCACCGGUGGCCGAUGGUUGGGGCGUUCAUGAAAAUGGCGAUGAAUUUGCGUGAGCUUAGUGCGCAGCUCGUUCGACAUUUUUGGUAGAGGCGUAGUUAAUGUAAGGAUAAUCACAAUAUUUUAAACUUUACAGCAGCACAUCAGCACACAUUGCACACAUUGAACACAUGUGGACCGUGGUGCGCAUAUGCAUUUUUGAUUCCCGCCCAAAGCCCAUGUAGCUCGAAGUCAAUUUAUUUGCUUUCUUAUCCUCGCGUUUGAAUAAUUGGCUACCAAGUUACCUUUACGAGAUCGAAGCGAACCUUCUGCAUUUUGCGUGUGGAGCCUCCUUGGGACUCGCUCGCAUUCGGAUCCCCAUUCGCAUUCACGUUCUCUAGCAUGCAUCAAUUACAAUCAGAUUAGUUGCAUGUGAGCAGGAACCCUUUGAUGGAAAACGAUCGCGCCAGAUUAAGUCGCGAAACGAUCCCAACCGAACGGUGGACUGACUGGCUGGCCAUUCUUCUCCAGUCUCGGCACGAAUCUCGGCCUCCGCAGAGCUGGUGGAUCAAUUGAAGUGGCUGGAAUGGAGUGAACUGGACUGGACAGUGUGUAUUGGAGAUCCAUUAAACUUCUGGCACCAAUUUGGCCAGCAAAAAGUGCUUAUGGCUUUUGAGCCAGAACUGGAGUUUCGUUUACUGGCUUUCGGGUCAGAAUUCAUAAUGGUCUUAACCUAGAUUUUUAAAUGCAGUCAAUAGAACCUAAAAUGAUUCAUAAAAAAUAUAUGAAAGCGGAUUAAAGGAAAAAACUAUAUUUCAGCCUAUUGCUAUAAAAGAAAUAGUCGAAAUGUAAAAUUAUAAGCCUUUAUGACAAUUUUUAGUCUUUCUCGCCCAUUUUCGCUAAAAAAUUUGUAUUUUAUGGCCACAACAUUGGAAAUAAAGGUCCAAAUGUGGAAAGUCAUAUAUUGUUGAACUCGUAAUUAAAUUCCCAAUCGAUUGGUGUUCCAGUUUACAAAUUUUAUUUUUUGUCAUUUUUUUCAACAUUUUUAUGAUGUUACCCCUUACAAAAAAUUCAAAAAUUAGCAAAAAUUUUUUUUUGCGAAAUUCCACAAAAAGUGAUAGGGGUCUUAUGCAUUGGUAAUUAGCUUCUCAAAACAGUUUUCAUUUUGGGAUAUAUGGCCAUUUUUAGCCAAGUUAUGAUAAAAAAUACUUCAAAAAUAUAGAGUUUUUACCAAAAGACGUUUUACUAAAAUUUCUUCGUAAAAGUAUCCGAUUUAUAGCCACAACAUUAGAAAUAUUGGUCCAAAUGUGGAAAGUCAUAUAUCGUUUAACUCGUAAUUAAAUUCCCAAUCGAUUGGUGUUCCAGUUUACAAAUUUUAUUUUUUGUCAUUUUUUUCAAAAUUUUAUGAUGUUACCCCUUACAAAAAAUUCAAAAAUUGGCAAAAAUUUAUUUUUGCGAAAUUCCACUAAAAGUGAUAGGGGUCUUAUGCAUUGGUAAUUAGCUUCUCAAAACAGUUUUCAUUUUGGGUAUAUGGCCAUUUUUAGCCAAGUUAUGAUAAAAAAAUCCUUCAUAAAUAUAGAGUUUUUGCCAAAAGACGUUUUCCUAAAAUUUCUUCGAAAAAUUAUCCGAUUUAUAGAAACAACAUUGGAAAUAAUGGUCCAAAUGUGGAAAGUCAUAUAUCGUUUUACUCGUAAUUAAAUUCCCAAUCGAUUGGUGUUCCAGUUUACAAAUUUUAUUUUUUGUCAUUUUUUUCAAAAUUUUAUGAUGUUACCCCUUACAAAAAAUUCAAAAAUUGGCAAAAAUUUAUUUUUGCGAAAUUCCACUAAAAGUGAUAGGGGUCUUAUGCAUUGGUAAUUAGCUUCUCAAAACAGUUUUCAUUUUGGGUAUAUGGCCAUUUUUAGCCAAGUUAUGAAAAAAAAUCCUUCAUAAAUAUAGAGUUUUUGCCAAAAGACGUUUUCCUAAAAUUUCUUCGAAAAAUUAUCCGAUUUAUAGAAACAACAUUGGAAAUAAUGGUCCAAAUGUGGAAAGUCAUAUAUCGUUUUACUCGUAAUUAAAUUCCCAAUCGAUUGGUGUUCCAGUUUACAAAUUUUAUUUUUUGUCAUUUUUUUCAAAAUUUUAUGAUGUUACCCCUUACAAAAAAUUCAAAAAUUGGCAAAAAUUUAUUUUUGCGAAAUUCCACUAAAAGUGAUAGGGGUCUUAUGCAUUGGUAAUUAGCUUCUCAAAACAGUUUUCAUUUUGGGUAUAUGGCCAUUUUUAGCCAAGUUAUGAUAAAAAAAUCCUUCAUAAAUAUAGAGUUUUUGCCAAAAGACGUUUUCCUAAAAUUUCUUCGAAAAAUUAUCCGAUUUAUAGCCACAACAUUGGAAAUAAUGGUUCAAAUGUGGAAAGUCAUAUAUCGUUGAACUCGUAAUUAAAUUCCCAAUCGAUUGGUGUUCCAGUUUACAAAUUUUAUUUUUUGUCAUUUUUUUCAAAAUUUUAUGAUGUUACCCCUUACAAAAAAUUCAAAAAUUGGCAAAAAUUUAUUUUUGCGAAAUUCCACAAAAAGUGAUAGGGGUCUUAUGCAUUGGUAAUUAGCUGCUAAAAACAGUUAUAGUCUUGAGUUUAUGGAUAUUUUAAGCGAAGUUAUGAUGAAAAACCCCUUUUAUAAUUAUAAGUUUUUACCGAAGAAGUUACAUAUAUACAUGUAUGUCUCUGGUUUUUCCCAUAAAUGAAUUAUAGUGUGUAUAUGCAGUAAAUAUAUUUUUAAGGACACAUAAACCUAAAGCUGUUAAAUGCUUUGAAUUUCUUAUAUCAGUCACAAUCCACUCGAUAUUGCAUUUCAAGCGAUUUUGCCCUUAAUUUGCGCCUUACAAUACCGUAAAAUGUAGGCUCGACGGGCCAGAACCACUUUUGAGUUUUCAUUUCGAUGAGAUGUAAAUAAGCAACAAGGACUUGUGUACUUUUGUAACGAAUUGCGCUUUGCAGAUACUGCAUAAUUUUGGCUCCGGAUGAUAAUGAUGAUGAAUACAACUUUUGGUAUAAAUUGCAAUUUAUUGUGUCUUGUGGUGAAAAAAAGUGUUUUUGUUUGAAUAGUUAUUUUUUUGCUCCCCUCAUUCGGCAUUGUUCUCCUCUUUUCUCCUUUUGUCCUUGUGAACAUCAAAGCUGAACCAGAGACUUUGUCAUCAGCCUUCUCUUUGCCUUUUUGUUUUUGCCAACCGGUUCGCGUCCUGACGUUGUUCUUGAAAAAGUUUUCAUUUAACACUGGGAAAUGAUUAGAAAUUUAUGUGCCUAAUAUAAUAUAUUACCAUGAACGGACUAGCAAGUGAUAUUGAUAGUUUUUCAUAUAUAAUUAUUAGGAGAGAAGGAUCAGAUUGUUUCACGAUUAGAAUACGCCCUUGAGGACUUGAAUCCCAUCAAGAUGAUAUUGGUCAACUGUAAAAUUUGAAAUGAGCAAAAGUUUGUUGUCCCAAGAAUCACGAUUAGUACAAUAUUUUGAUUGCUACCUGAAGGAUGUUGUGAAAGCAUCCUUGGAAGUGCCACUGCAUUCAGCAUAGCAACUUAUCGCAACCACGAUGUGAAAUGCCGGAAGGGUAUUCAUCCCCUUUGAUUAGCGCGUGUAAGUCGGAAAGGCUGGUUUGUUUUGUUCUGUUCUUGUUAAUGUUCCGUUUGGUGCUCCUCUGUUGAGCGGACCGAUGUCAUCCUGAGAAAGGACAUCCUAAUGAAUAUGUCAUUGUGCGCGAUAAAGUUUUCACUUUAUUGUCAGAAUUGUCUCGUUAUUAACACGAGUUGAGUUGAUCGAAACGUGGAAUGUGCGGUGAUAAGAGGCUUAGGUUUGGGCCAAGGGAUUCCCAAGACGGACGAAUUGGCAAUCGCAUUGUUUCCAGCGACAUGCAGCUACUUGAUUUCUGAAAAUGAAAAAAAAAAAAAACUCAAACCGGAUUUUAGUUGGCUUUCUGGGCUUAUUAUGUUGCAUACAUUCUGACACGCAAAGGCCUUUUUUUUACUUUAAAGCAAAAAAGGCAAACCAUGACCGCAAAAAAUCUUUGGCGAAAUCAGUUCCAAAUCGCUACGUCCUGUUUUUGUAAGAAGAUAUUUAUGAUAUUAACGAUGAAAACUGAGUCAAAGUAUCAAAAAAUACAAUUAUUAAAAUUCCGGUCUCAUGAUAGUUUAGCAUCAAGAAUAUCUAUCUUGUAUCUAGCACUUUUCUAUAACUAUCUAGAAAGGAAAAAACAGGCCUUCUCAAGCUGCAAAAUCGGCACGGUCGUAACAAGAUGACCUCUGAACUUAUUUAUAUUAACAAACAAAAAGAGAAAAAAACCCGUAUGUCCCAUAAGCCAUUUAGUGUUUGCAUAUAGAAAACAAACUCUUUAUUUAGCAUUCAAAUCGGUGGGCUAGGAAGACACGGUCCGAUUUGUUAUGUUUAUGUAACCCUUAUUCUUGUCUGUGGUAAGAGUGGAAAUUAUCACGGCGCCUCAAUGUAAAACUGGAUUAAAGGUCGCCGGACUUUGGGUCCUGUCAACGUUGCUACCAUCGUCAAUAAAUCAGCCAGUUGAAAAUUCCGUUACAGGACACGGGAUUCGUGAGAAAACGUCGUAUAAUAUCCCAAAGCCAAGAUGUUUUUCUUAUCCACAUCUAUCCCGAUGUCCGGCCAAAUGACAUUAGGGCAUUGGAAUUCUAAUCGAAAUACCGGUUGUCCGAACAACUACCAUCUAACACCAUAUCUGCAAUUACUUGUUCCGCACCAAAACGAACCGAUGUCCCGGGAACGGGUUCCCAUAACCGUGGAUGCACGGACGGAUGGCUGGGAUAGCCGGAUAUGAAUAUUAAGCAGCCGUGUGGGUAUUUAUCUAAUCUUAACAAAUGACUUGAUGUCUUCGUCACCGCUGUUAACCGUGCAGGACAUGCAAAUAAAGUUUUUACGCCAAGGUAUUUAUCUGGCGGGAAUUAGUGUCAAACUUUUCGGUCCGCAGUCCUGACAAAUGACACACAUCCAGGACGAAUUCGCAGCGCCUCCAGUUUGGCACCUUGACUGGUAGGAUAUAAGUUCAUAUUAAUAAUGCAGGAUAGUACUAAUUGGUUAUUUAAGCCAUAUAAAUUGAGUAUUUCAACUAAAAACAAUUAUAAUUAAAUGUUUUUAGUGCAAUUAAUUGCUAAAUCGAAAUCUUUUGUUUCCCUUAUAGACGUGCACCGGAAUCUGUGACAAAUCCAAGGGUAUGCAGCCCACGUAAGAACAUCAGGGGUUAGUUUUGGGCACUGUCCAUAGGAAACUGAAAUACCUAAUGAGUUCUGGAACUUUUUAACGACCAACAUUGUAUUCCUCCACAGUUGUUAUUAUAAUAACGAAAAACACACACACCUAUACACGGAUAAGUAUAUAGAUAUAUACUCCAUAUAUCCUUUCAUGUAAGCCCGAUAUGUGUGUGUGAGUGGGCCUAUAUGGCAUACUAAAUGUGGGCACUAAGCCCAGCGGUCGAGAGUGGGUUGGGGGAGGGCAUAAAAAACAAACCCCUUCACUUGUUGUUAAACAAACUCUUGCGAUUUCUAUUUUUCAUCGCCGGGACCGGUCGGUCGGUCGGUCGACCGGUCACUCUCACUACUCGAAAAGUGGUGCCGCAGAUGGCUCUGGUCCGCCUCCAAAGUGGACAGAAUUUAACGUUCCAGAGACUCGUUUAAUAAUUGCUCAGAGUGCGUGCGGUUUGGGAUGGAGAGUUGGCGGGCUGUUCAGAUGCUGGGAUGUUGGGAUGGGGGUCGAAUUGGGUCUACGUCAACCGUGUCGCUAGGCCUGUCGUACGGGACAGGCCCGUAACGGGCUGUGGGACUUAACCGGAUCCGGGACGAACCGGACAGUACUACUAACCCAUACCCUUGGCCGUAUCGUGGUGGACGGUCCGUUCAGGACCUUCCCGCGACCUUUCCCUGGACCGCUGGCAGUUGAAAUUUGUGAUAGAUGCGGUUUGCGGAGGCUGGGCGAUGGGGCGCGAGGUGUGGCACACACACACACAUACACACUCGCAGUGGCACACAACUACACACACACGCAGAGACACACGGACAGGGCGAGUGGACAGGACCUUUUGUAGCCUUAACCCCUAAGUGUCCAGAAAAGGGAUGAAACGGCUGAAAAAUGCUUACGCCGGGUUUCGAAAAUGUUAUUACGAAUAUAUUAUGCGCACAUACCAACAUAGGCAUAGGCCAACAUACAUACAUAAGUAAACUUUUACUUUUGUACAUAUGUAUAUGUACAGACAGACCUUGGUUAUAUAUUCAAAAUUAUAUGUGUUACAAACGCGUGCACAUAGUUUCUGCCACAUGGCCGCAGAUUAUAUAUACAUACCUUUGGAUAUAUUUAUAUACAAAAAUAUAUUCUAGUGUCCGGCAGUGGUCAACAGAUUUGGAUGGCUGGCCCAGCCUACGAAUGUCCUGAAAUGAGGUUAUUACGGUGGACACCAGGGGCCGGUGAUAAAGGCGUGAGUCCAUUUACCCCGGCCACAAGAACCCUUUUGUUUAGUUACCUCGACGCCCAGGAUGAAAUCGGGCUAGUAGUGUUGGCCGUAAAGUGCUCAGUGGCGAAUUAAAAAUUGACAUACUUAUACAUUUUACAGCUUACACGUGGCGAUAAAAGAUGUCCAUCUGGAUCCACACUAUGCCGCCAUCCAUCCCAUUGUUUUUUAUUUUCCACUUGCUUGAGGGGAAGGAAGAACCACUCCAGUUUGCAGUUCAUUCAUAUGCGACUUCCAUUUCCGAUUUGUUCUCAAUAAAAGUGAAAAAAAAAGAGUGCGGAGCACAUAUGCACAUAUAUCCUUCGGUCUGGUCGCAAAUUUAAUAACACUUGCAUAAAGAAAUUUCCAAGUCACGAAAUUGCUGUGCGACCUUGUGAACUUUGGUCUUAAAAAAGAAUUUAACUGAUGCCAGACGUUUGAGGAAAGUUUUACUUUAGUUAAGUAUCAUUGAGCCAAGGAGUCUAGCCAAGAACUUUGCCCAACAAGUGGGACAAAGAGUCAAUUUAACCUGUCAUUACAAAAACAUUCUUGAGAAGAUUUCUUUGAGCUGACCAAUUGGCUACAAAUUCAAUGGAAGUUGCAUUAUAGCUCUUGAUUACCCUCGUUAUUGAUGGAUUAUAAUCAAUUAAGUGCCAAAAGGGUAUUUGGGCAUAUAUAGUAUAUUAUGGCCAGUUUUCAUUAUUUUAUAUUAGUAAACAAAAGAGGAAAGGAUGGGGAAAAAUCUUAAUUAAAUGUGCCAUUCGUUUGCUUUUUGAAUGGAUAUAGUUGUUUGCUUCCUCAAAAUAGCUACAUUCUAUUCAUAUUUUUCUUAAAAGGAAACAAGAGCUCAAUUUAAAAAGUAUUUUAUAAGAUUCUUACGUUAUUAAUGAUCCAUCUAAUGAUAAGGAUUAACUAUAUAAUCAAAAGCAAAGCAGAGUAUAUAAGACACUUAAAUGAAAUCGUAGAUUUGUAGCCGCACUUGAUAUUAUUAAUAGCAUAUUAGAAUAUAUUAGCAUAUAUUAAUAGCAUAGAUUAGAUAGUUAAGUUAAGAUUUCUUAGAGAAUAUACAGCUAAUAAAUACAUUUAAUUUAUUUAAGAAUUAAGAAAAUUUAAGCGCAUCUUUGUACAAAAGGAUGUGCACACUUGACGCCCUUUUGGGCAUCUCCCGCACAAUUGACUUACCUUUGGGCGCCCUUAUGGACCAUCUUCAACCAAAUGGCAGGUGCUGAUGUUGUGAUGUUGGCCAAACCAGCUGUUGGCGACCACCGUUUUUUUUUGUUUUUCUCCUGCAUUUCCCAUUUUUUCUGCUGCACAUGACACUCCAUCGCGAACGAGCUGCAAACAACGGGCAAAAAAGGCGGACGGCAUUGAAUUACGGUCGGAGCCAUCAAAAUUGCACCAUAUGGAAAUUAAGUUGGCAACUGCCGUGAUACUCUGGGCACUACGAUGCGAGAAAGUCGCGAAAAACGGCAGCAAAAAAGCACAUCUGCAGUCGUGUGUGCAAAGGUCAAGCCGGUGGCAUUUCACCGCCAUUUCACUGCCAUUUCACCUUUCGCCGAUGCGCCAAACGCUGCGGUGAAACAAAAAGCCCCUUUUUUGGAGUGCAGGAUGCAGGGUGCAGAAUUCAGAAUUCCAAGUGAUUUGGCGAAAAAAACGCGCCGUUUAAGGGGAUUAGGCAGUCAGUUGGAAACCGCUUGCUUGUUUGCCCGGUGGCAUGCAGCUUGAUGCACUUGACCCGUUUUUUUCUUUUGCUGCCACCGCCACUUUGGAGUGCGGCGUGCAGUUCUUUAUGCCCCGGCUGCCUGCUGGAUGCGUGGCAAAGUGGUGGGAUCGGUAUACUCCUCCAUUGGAGGAGGACCAAGUCAGGCCAUCGUUUGCCAUGCGAUACUGUCGCCGAUUAGGCGGCUAUAGACGGGAAAAGUGUUUUCGGCGUGUGUUCGCCUCGAUGUUUGUUGGUUUUUGACGCGGCGCCGCGUAAAAAGCGCAUUUUUUCCACUAGAGCGUGUUUUUUUCGCGUUGCCUGCAACCUCAACUUUUCGGUCACUUUUUCUGCACUCUGACGGCUUAAUUGGUGAACAUUGUUCCCUAACACUACAUUCAUGCGACGGGGGCAUCAUAAACAACCAGCAAACUAGUCAUAACAAGUCGUUUUAGGAUCGUUUAUUGAAUGCAGUUGCUAGUUUUGCAAAUUAAGUGGCAAAAGUGGCAGCUUAGCGGUUAAAUAUUUGCUAGUUUUUAAAUAUAAAAGUAAGGAGUUGUAUAUUUCAAUACUUCAGAUUAAAUCCUUCUUACUUUUAAAGUAAAUAAUUCAUAGUUUUUCUUCACAACAUGAGAAUAUGUAGAUGCAAGAAAUGCUAGCAUAUUUUUUGGCGUUAGCCCGCUUGCUUUAAAAAUAUCUUAAGUUUAAUUGGCUUCUAUGUUCUUAGUUUCGUAAUAAAUAGAUUUUAAUAUCUUACAAUAUUCGGGAGAUAAGUUCGGUUCUAGUAAAUUGCAAUGAUGGCCACCGUUUAUAUCGACAAAAUAGACGGUUUCCAUAUGUGAGAUUUGAAAUUCAUAAGCCAGCAAUUGCAGCCUGCUUCCCUCCACCAAGUUUUAUUGUUUUUGCUAAAUCUGCACUAUUAUUAUACUAUUUUGAGAUACAGCUUAUCUAUUGUUGGGCAAGUGCUGUGUGUUAAUUGGAGAGACAUGUAUGUGUGUUUGAAUGCAUUUUCUCAAAGACCUGCAUCCGCUGGUUCUCCAUCGUCUUCAUACUUGGUCUUUCGUCCUGGCCAUAUCCUCAUCCACAUCCACGUUCUCAUCCACAUCUACAAUCACAUUUUGCAUUCUUGUACAUGGAUGGCCGCUCCUUCAUUUCCAACCGCUGUGGAUGCAUAAUUGCUUACGGUGCAGCCUGCUGGCAGGAUGAGAUGGUGAGCUGGAAAUAGAAAUCUGAAGUAAGGAAAGAUGCCGGACACGGCAGGACAUCUGCCAUUGUUCGCAUGUGUGUGUGCGUGUUUGUGUGUGUGUGUGUGUGUGCGUGUUUCAGGCUGUGCGCUUGUGUAUAUUCAAGUAUAUUUGAAUUUUCUCCUGGCGCUGGGCAUACUCGUAUAUGGCAUAUAUCCCAGUGAGUGGGGUCAGUCGUCCUGACUCCGUCUUGCUGCCAUUCUAGGUCCUGUCAAAACUAAAACGCGCCGCUGCCAGAGACCAGAGCCCUGAGUCCUGAGUCCUGCGUUCUGCGUUCUGAGUCCUGCGUCCAGACAUGCACAACUUUCGCUCCAUACAAUAUCAGCAAUUUCCUUCGUUAGUCAUUCGUUUCCUCGCAUCUCACAUCUCCGCCUUGUUGUUAUGGCUCCCACCGUUCAGCCCUGUUCAGUGCUGCGAAUUUGGGCCCGUCCCAUUAGCCCGUUUCACUUUGAUGCAGAAGCUGCCCGCCCGGGAGAAUGUUGGGCAGCCGGAGGAGGAGGUCCUUCGCUCGGACUUCGGCGUCUGGACUAGCAACCAGAGGACAUCUCGACGACGACAACUCCUAAGCUCACGUAUAUUCCACCGCCGCAUGCCGUUUGCAUGUGUGCUUGCUUCAACGCCACAUACCAUACUCCGUGCUCCGGGCUCCUAACUGCGGUCCCCAAUCUCCGAUCCCCCGUGUCCUCGAUAUGACCAGACCCAAAAACCCCGGACACACUUGGAGUCGGUGGGCAUACUCAUACAUGGACACAUAAUGUAAAUGUCCGCAAUUUCUUUUUGGCCAUCUCUUAGCUGCCGCUGCGUUCUUGCCAUUUAGACUGGGCAUCGAAUACGAGUACGGGCAUGUGGCCACCACCUCCGCCUCCGCCUCCAGCUUCUCAUUUUCCAGCUCCAUCUCCUUACUCCCUCCCUCGUUACGGCGCAAAUCGCCGGACUGCGACUACGACUACGACGAAGGCGCAGAGCAGCGGAGAUUGCUUCUGCUGGCGCUGCCGCUGCCUUCGUCACCACUUUUCCAUCAUAGCACCCAACCACCUGGCGCCAAAGGCAAGUCGAUCGAUAAUUUCCAUAGUUGACCACUGCUGUGUAUGCGAAUUUUGAAGCGGACAUCUACACAAACACAUGGCCAGCGGACGGAGGCAUCCUUUGGCCACCGCACCAUCGCCCCAACGGCCCACCGAUCCGCCACCCACCGCACAUCCACAUCCACAUCCACAUCCAUAUCCACGUCCACGUCCGCCCACCGGCACACAUACUGGCGCACACUCUUAGACGUUACAGCAGCGAGCUGAAGGCAGAGCCAAGCUUUCUAGUAGCACACACGCACAGCAGCGGCCACGAAACUAGCACUGAGAUUAUGAAAUCCUCACCUUUCGCUUUUUAUUCGAAUAAUUUAAAAUAAAAUAUAACUAAGUUGGCUUAAGCAUUAAGCAUAAGUAGUGCAUACUAAUCAAUAAUAUAAAUAACUAAUUGAGAAAUUUCUUUAAAAUACUUGAUGGACUUAAUCUAAAGUUCUAUAGAAUGUAUUUUGGGUACGCAAUCUUCAUAGGCAGCAUCUGUAGACCUACCAUUUCGUCACCUGCUGUUUGCAGCAUCUACGUCAACGGUCCUGGCCAGCAUGGACAUCAGGCUCUGGCUAUCAGGGAUCCGAGCGAAUGGGUAGGUGGGCAGCCAAGUGGGGCGGAUGACGUGGGUUGGGUGGGGUGUUUCGUUGGCAACGGCAAAAGCAAAGGCAACCGUGCUGGUCAGCCGGGCCCACAAUAAGUAAGGGUCUGCCAUGAAGAUAAAACGAAGACCAAGGAACGAACUGUUUCUGCAAAAUGUUGUUUGCAUACGACUUGCGACAUGUGAAAAGGAUAAGAGUGAAUGUGUGUGUGUGUGUGUGUGCGUGUGGAAGGAGGUGGGCGGGGGUGUAUGUGUGUGUGAGUGAGUGAGUGAGUGAGUAGGUGGGCGGAUGGGUGGUUGGUUAGUGGGUCUGUUGGCCGCUGUAUGUAUACGUGCAUUUAGAUGGACGGGAAAGCGGACGUUGGCGGCAAAUACGUGAGUGGGAGUCCGGCGCGUUUGGGGACCUCGGACUCGUCGUGGGCAAUUGCCACGACCACCGGAGUGGGUGGUGGGUUGGUGGUGGUCCGGGCUGGUCCAGGGCGGUGCGGAAUGGGCCUGGUCAAGCCACGCGGCUGGGAUAGACGACUUGAUGGUUCGAAUGUGGACGGAGCGCCGUGGAGUGGAGUGGAGUGAAGUGGCAUGGCGUGGCGUGGCAUGGAGAUGUGGCGAUGCUUAGAUGGUGGAUGCGGAGGAGGAAGGCGAAGGUUUUCCAGAGCAACGGCUACGGUUCUCGAGCAGCUUUUGGCGGAGUGGGUGGCUUGGGUGGCCUUUCGAAUGCUUGACUGCCCAGCGAGUGAGUGAGUGGGUGGUUUGGUGGCUGGAUGGUGAGUGGACGACGCAAAGAUGUACGCUAGGCGAUUGUAAAAUUUCACAUUUUAGAGAAUUAGACGUUUACUGGGAUACAAGCACACUCCCACACACAAGCACACACAUACACACACACAGACUCACACACAUGUCCGGUCAUCUAUUGCUUAAAUUUAAGAAUGUGUAUAUAUGCAUGUAUUCGUUUGUAUGUACGCAACCUGUGAACAAUAUACGUGAGUUUGAGGGUUCUUCGUUGGCAUAUGUAUGUAUAUACAUAUGUAUAUGUAUUUUUGGGUUUGGCUCUGCGAAAGUUUGGAAUCUUGUAUAUAAGUAGUAGAUGCCACUGCCUUUCGGCCAUGUAUAAAAUAUCAAAAUUUUGCUUAGACAUUAAUUUGCCAGCAAGUACACGGCGAUACACAGCUAACCGCACAUGCAUAUCUAUAUGCGUAUGUAUAUAUCUCAACAGUAUCGAGCUUAUGGUUGGUUUUAAUAUUUUCUGAUUGUUGUAUAUUUAAGAUUUUAGGCAGACGUCGCCUGCAUCUUGCCAUAUUGCCAUUUUGCCAUCUUGCCAUCUUGCAAUCCUGCAAGGCAAGCCAUCUAGUCGUCCUGCAUCCGUAAUACGUUUGUAAUUAGUCUAAUGUACCUUCUCCUUGUGGCUGCCCGAAUCCCCAAUUAAUUUCAGCAUGCGCUAUUUUCACCGCUGCAAUACGCAUCCUGGUGCAUCAAAUUCUAUUUUGCUUAGGUUGCUGAUAAUUAGAAAGACGCAGGAACAAAGGAAUAGUAAAGAUAGUACAGAAUUUAUAUUACAUAUAAUUUUUAAACUCAAAUUUUUAGCUUAACGUAUAAAGCCUCGGCAAACAAAAGGCAACAGAUCUUGAAUUUUAUGUAUAUUUUAUCGAUUCACGAAGGUCGAACAAAUCGCCCUUAAAGUUCACAAGGUAAUAACAUUUCCGUCAGUCUGUCAAUGUAAGACGCACCCUUCGCAUCGAAAAAAUCUAAUACUUGGAGAGCUGUCGUAACCAUUUUAUGAUGGUUUUUACACACAAGAUGACCGUAUUUACAUAUAUUUACGAGUCUGACACGCAAUCUCUUACAUAGUAAAAUAGGUGUACAUAUUAACUGCCCUAAUCGCAUCGAUUUGGUAUUUAUGUUGAUAGUGGAUUUAUUAAGUGCAGAUACUUAUUGGGGCACUACUUUGUUAAUAAAGCCGUAGAAUUAGGGGAAUAAAUCGAAUUAGAGCAUAAUUGCGUAAGUAUUUUGUAAGUGAUUAGGUGUUUGCUUCAUUUAUGUAUAUGAAUGAAGGAACAAAUCAAUUUUUUUUUAAUGUCUGCGCCAGAAAAUGAUUUUCUUAGAUUUAAAAAAAAAAUUGCGUAUACGACCCGUUGGACAUAAUUGAUUUCGCUUCUAGACAUUUUUAAUAUUGUACAGAAAUAUAAGUAAGCAGGAAUAUAGUGAAAAGUAAAUUUUAAUUAAGGCAACUAUUUCGCAUUGCUCCUUACAAGAGAAAUUAAGAAACCUGUGAAAUCGCGUAUACGCCAUGUUUACCGCGGGUAAGUACACUAGUACAUAAGUAGUUACUUUAUUUUAAAUCCUGUAAAUAAUAUGAUGCGUUACUUUAUUAGUAAAUAUACUCAUUGAUGGUUUCGUGCAGCUAGAUACUUAUUUCUUUCUCUUGUAUUAAGUUGAAUCACAAAUGCCAAUAGAACAUUGGCUAAGUUAUCGGUUAUUUAUUCAAUUAAAUGCGUAAAUCUUUUUCCACCAACUCAAACCUGUUGCGAAAAAGUGCUCCCUAAUCGUUUCGUUGGCCUUGAACGGGGGCCAUUGACGCCAUGAAUGUGUAACAUCCUCAUUUGAGGUUCAAGGUUAUGAUUAUUUACGACAAAGUAUGUACUUCCGUACAUGAUUGCCGGACAUAUACAUAGGCAUAUGUACCAUGUGCAGAGCCCGCAUGCAUGUGCAUUGGGUUCCCCGCAUGCACAUGCCCAUGCCCAUUUAUAACUAAGUACCUACUUAUGGACCCCGCUGGCGGGAGGCUGGCAAACGGCAUAAAUGCAGCUGAAUGCAGCUCAUUAUCAUUUAAAUACGCAGUGUGCUGGCCUAAUUUGCAGGAAUGCGUUAGUGUGCGUGCGUCUGUGUUGGUGUUGACUUGACUAUUUAUGAGCCAAAAGCAACAAACGUGCUCCACUCAAGCACAUGCAGUGGCAUAUACCGGCUUAUACAUAAACGCAAUUAUAGGGACAUAAAUGUGUACAUAAUUAUAAUGCACAUUAUAACGUCUAGCCACAUAGCACAAUUCGGUUGUCCUUACAGGAAGUCCGAAUUAUAGUAAAUACUUGGUCACUCAGGCGAGUAAAUAAAUGCAUACAACCCGUGCACAUACUUAACUGAAUGAGUUGUUUGAUUUCAUUGCCAAUUGAGAGCCCAGUGGCCUUGUGAUUUAAAUGCAUUGUACAUAGUGACAUUCACACAUAAUAAGUCAGUUAAACAAUUGUGUCAUGCUUAAUUAGCACAGCUCAUGCUACGAAAUGGCUUUUGAUUUCUACACAAAUUAGGUGUAAAUAAUAAAAGAAGCUGAAUAAAACUAAUUGAGAAUACAUUCAUAAGA